rnacentral:rRNA from 1 species
UACAGAGGGGGCAAGCGUUGUUCGGAAUUACUGGGCGUAAAGGGCGCGUAGGCGGCCUUCUAAGUCGGGGGUGAAAUCCCCGGGCUCAACCUGGGAACUGCAUUUGUGACUGCACGGCUGGAGUGCGGCAGAGGGGGAUGGAAUUCCGCGUGUAGCAGUGAAAUGCGUAGAUAUGCGGAGGAACACCGAUGGCGAAGGCAAUCCCCUGGGCCUGCACUGACGCUCAUGCACGAAAGCGUGGGGAGCAAACAGG